UGGUGGGGUGACUUGUCUGCUUGAUUGCGAUAACGAACGAGACCUUAACCUGCUAAAUAGCCCGCAUUGCUCCGGCAGUGCGCUGGCUUCUUAGAGGGACUUUCGGCUCAAGCCGAAGGAAGUUUGAGGCAAUAACA
rnacentral:rRNA from 1 species